rnacentral:rRNA from 1 species
CCUACGGGUGGCAGCAGUGAGGAAUAUUGGUCAAUGGACGAGAGUCUGAACCAGCCAAGUAGCGUGAAGGAUGACUGCCCUAUGGGUUGUAAACUUCUUUUAUAUGGGAAUAAAACGUUCCACGUGUGGGAUUUUGUAUGUACCAUAUGAAUAAGGAUCGGCUAACUCCGUGCCAGCAGCCGCGGUCAUACGGAGGAUCCGAGCGUUAUCCGGAAUUAUUGGGUUUAAAGGGAGCGUAGGUAGAUUGUUAAGUCAGUUGGGAAAGGUUGCGGCGCAACCGUAAAAUUGCAGUUGAAACUGGCAGUCUUGAGUACAGUAGAGGUGGGCGGAAUUCGUGGUGUAGCGGUGAAAUGCUUAGAUAUCACGAAGAACUCCGAUUGCGAAGGCAGUUCACUGGACUGCAACUGACACUGAGGCUCGAAAGUGUGGGUAUCAAACAGGAUUAGAUACCCGAGUAGUC